rnacentral:misc_RNA from 1 species
GAUGAAGAACGCAGCGAAAUGCGAUAAGUAAUGUGAAUUGCAGAAUUCAGUGAAUCAUCGAAUCUUUGAACGCACAUUGCGCCCAUUAGUAUUCUAGUGGGCAUGCCUGUUCGAGCGUCAUUAAUUCCACUUAAGCCUGCUUAGUGUUGGGAAUCUACUCUAGUGGUGCUACCCUGGAGCUACCCCUGAAAGGGGGCUGGCCCGGUAGCUACCCUGUAGUUCCUCAAAGAUAGUGCGCGGAGUUGCGUGGUCCUCUGAGCUUAGUAACUAUACACCUAGCUUUUGAGUGUCCCGCGGCGCCUGCCGUUUAAACCCCAUCUUUUAAUGGUUGACCUCGGAUCAGGUAGGAAUACCCGCUGAACUUAAGCAUAUCAAUAAGCGGAGGA